GACGAACGCUGGCGGCGUGCUUAACACAUGCAAGUCGAACGGAAAGGCCCUGCUUUUGUGGGGUGCUCGAGUGGCGAACGGGUGAGUAACACGUGAGUAACCUGCCCUUGACUUUGGGAUAACUUCAGGAAACUGGGGCUAAUACCGGAUAGGAGCUCCUGCUGCAUGGUGGGGGUUGGAAAGUUUCGGCGGUUGGGGAUGGACUCGCGGCUUAUCAGAUUGUUGGUGGGGUAGUGGCUUACCAAGGCUUUGACGGGUAGCCGGCCUGAGAGGGUGACCUGCCAAGUUAGGACUGGAAUGCGGCACAGACUCCUCCAGGAGGCAGCAGUGGAGUAUAGUAUACAAUGGACGGAACGCUGAUGCGGCAACGCCGCGUGCGGGAUGACAGCCUUCGGGUUGUGAACCGCUUUCGCCUGAGACGAAGCGUGAGUGACGGUAAUGGGUAAAGAAGCACCGGCUAACUACGUG
rnacentral:rRNA from 1 species